CCCUACGGGGUGCAGCAGGCGCGAAAACUUUACGAUGCUGGCAACAGCGAUGAGGGAACCUCGAGUGCCAGGUUACAAAUCUGGCUGUCGAGAUGCCUAAAAAGCAUUUCAUAGCAAGGGCCGGGCAAGACCGGUGCCAGCCGCCGCGGUAACACCGGCGGCUCGAGUGGUAACCGUUAUUAUUGGGUCUAAAGGGUCUGUAGCCGGCCGGAUAAGUCUCUUGAGAAAUCUGGCAGCUUAACUGUCAGGCUUUCAGGAGAUACUGUCUGGCUCGAGGCCGGGAGAGGUGAGAGGUACUUCAGGGGUAGGGGUGAAAUCUUGUAAUCCUUGAAGGACCACCAGUGGCGAAGGCGUCUCACCAGAACGGACCUGACGGCAAGGGACGAAAGCUAGGGGCACGAACCGGAUUAGAUACCCGGGUAGUCCUAGCCGUAAACGAUACUCGCUAGGUGUCGGCCACGGUGCGACCGUUGUCGGUGCCGUAGGGAAGCCGUGAAGCGAGCCACCUGGGAAGUACGGCCGCAAGGCUGAAACCUAAAGGAAUUGGCGGGGGAGCACCACAACGGGUGGAGCUUGCGGUUUAAUUGGAU
rnacentral:rRNA from 1 species